GUGUCUGACUCUUUGCGACCCCAUGGACUGCAGCAUGCCAGACCUCCCUGCCCAUUGCCAACUCCUGGGGCUGGCUGAAACUCAUUUGAAGCUGAGAAGACUGGAAGACAAUUGGCGUUUUCAAUCUAGCACUGUUUGAUGAGCAAAAC
rnacentral:lncRNA from 1 species